rnacentral:rRNA from 1 species
GUGCCAGCAGCCGCGGUAAUACAGAGGGUGCGAGCGUUAAUCGGAGUUACUGGGCGUAAAGGGCGCGUAGGCGGUGAUGCAAGUAAGAUGUGAAAUCCCUGGGCUUAACCUAGGAAUUGCAUUUUAGACUGUGUUGCUAGAGUGCAGUAGAGGGUAGUGGAAUUUCCGGUGUAGCGGUGAAAUGCGUAGAGAUCGGAAGGAACACCAGUGGCGAAGGCGACUACCUGGACUGACACUGACGCUGAGGCGCGAAAGCGUGGGGAGCAAACAGGAUUAGAAACCCUGGUAGUCC